CCUACGGGAGGCAGCAGUGAGGAAUAUUGGUCAAUGGACGAGAGUCUGAACCAGCCAAGUAGCGUGAAGGAUGACUGCCCUAUGGGUUGUAAACUUCUUUUAUAUGGGAAUAAAACGUUCCGCGAGUGGGAUUUUGUAUGUACCAUAUGAAUAAGGAUCGGCUAACUCCGUGCCAGCAGCCGCGGUAAUACGGAGGAUCCGAGCGUUAUCCGGAUUUAUUGGGUUUAAAGGGAGCGUAGGUGGAUUGUUAAGUCAGUUGUGAAAGUUUGCGGCUCAACCGGAAAAUUGCAGUUGAAACUGGCAGUCUUGAGUACAGUAGAGGUGGGCGGAAUUCGUGGUGUAGCGGUGAAAUGCUUAGAUAUCACGAAGAACUCCGAUUGCGAAGGCAGUUCACUGGACUGCAACUGACACUGAGGCUCGAAAGUGUGGGUAUCAAACAGGAUUAGAUACCCUUGUAGUC
rnacentral:rRNA from 1 species